GAUGAACGCUGGCGGCGCGCCUAAUACAUGCAAGUCGAGCGAACAGACGAGGAGCUUGCUCCUCUGACGUUAGCGGCGGACGGGUGAGUAACACGUGGAUAACCUAGCUAUAAGACUGGGAUAACUUCGGGAAACCGGAGCUAAUACCGGAUAAUAUAUUGAACCGCAUGGUUCAAUAGUGAAAGACGGUUUUGCUGUCACUUAUAGAUGGAUCCGCGCCGCAUUAGCUAGUUGGUAAGGUAACGGCUUACCAAGGCAACGAUGCGUAGUCGACCUGAGAGGGUGAUCGGCCACACUGGAACUGAGACACGGUCCAGACUCCUACGGGAGGCAGCAGUAGGGAAUCUUCCGCAAUGGGCGAAAGCCUGACGGAGCAACGCCGCGUGAGUGAUGAAGGUCUUCGGAUCGUAAAACUCUGUUAUUAGGGAAGAACAAAUGUGUAAGUAACUAUGCACGUCUUGACGGUACCUAAUCAGAAAGCCACGGCUAACUACGUG
rnacentral:rRNA from 1 species